rnacentral:rRNA from 1 species
AGCUAAUAGAUACCCAGGUAGUCCACGCCCUAAACGAUGUCUACUAGUUGUUGGUGGAGUAAAAUCCAUGAGUAAACGCAGCUAACGCGUGAAGUAGACCGCCUGGGGAGUACGGUCGCAAGAUUAAAACUCAAAGGAAUUGACGGGGGGCCCGCACAAGCGGUGGAUUAUGUGGAUUAAUUCGAUGCAACGCGAAAAACCUUACCUGGCCUUGACAUGCCACUAACGAAGCAGAGAUGCAUUAGGUGCCCGUAAGGGAAAGUGGACACAGGUGCUGCAUGGCUGUCGUCAGCUCGUGUCGUGAGAUGUUGGGUUAAGUCCCGCAACGAGCGCAACCCUUGCCAUUAAUUGCCAUCAUUUAGUUGGGCACUUUAAUGGGACUGCCGGUGACAAACCGGAGGAAGGUGGGGAUGACGUCAAGUCCUCAUGGCCCUUAUGGCCAGGGCUUCACACGUAAUACAAUGGUCGGUACAGAGAGUUGCCAACCCGCGAGGGGAGCUAAUCUCAGAAAGCCGAUCGUAGUCCGGAUUGUUCUCU